rnacentral:lncRNA from 1 species
GCAAAGGAGCACUGUGAGGAUUUUGCCCACAGGAUCAACAGUUGGGAUUACAGCUCUUGAAGCAAAGUGUGUGAGUGGUAACAUCACGGAAUGACAACUGCCACAGAACAAGGAGAUCCCAUGUGAAGUCACACAG